rnacentral:lncRNA from 1 species
GAAAAAGGAGGAGGGAGGGAGCGAGCCGCCUCCCCGCCGGAGUGUCAGGCCGGGCUCUGAAGGGAGAAGCGAGGCCCGGUGUCCGCUCCCCCCUCCCCGUCGCUCUCUGGUUGUCUUUCCCGAUCUGGGCUCUCACCUGACCGGGUCCCGGGGGAAGCGGAAGAAGGCCAGCUCUUCAGGAAGGUAUUCACACGGACUGAAUGGAUAUUGAGACAGACCAAGGGCUCAGUCAUUAAAUAUGUUCUGCUCAUAGUGAGAGAAGAAAGCACGGCCAUUCUGAAACAUAUAAAUGAUGUGAAGCAAGAGUUGUUCAAGUGCAGUAGUUCUCCUUUGCUAUGGACAUCUCUGAUAGAGUUUUAAAGACACACAGAAUCUUGACAGAUAAAUGUGGGAUUUUGGAAGUUUAAGCUGAGGAAAUGAAGCAGGCUAAGUAAAUGUCUUUUCAAAGACAUUUGAACAAAAAUUUAUGACUUUUUUGGUUUUUUUUUAAUCAUUUGUUUUCUUUUGGAUGGGCUUAAAACUUUUCCAGCUUUU